UACAGAGGUCUCAAGCGUUGUUCGGAUUCAUUGGGCGUAAAGGGUGUGUAGGUGGCGCCCGUAAGUCGGGUGUGAAAUUUCGGAGCUUAACUCCGAAACUGCAUUCGAUACUGCGGUGCUUGAGGACUGGAGAGGAGACUGGAAUUCAUGGUGUAGCAGUGAAAUGCGUAGAGAUCAUGAGGAAGACCAGUGGCGAAGGCGGGUCUCUGGACAGUUCCUGACACUGAGACACGAAGGCCAGGGGGAGCAAACGGG
rnacentral:rRNA from 1 species